rnacentral:sRNA from 1 species
UGAGAAAUUAUUUCUGGGCGCGCUUUUU